AUUGAACGCUGGCGGCAGGCCUAACACAUGCAAGUCGAGCGGUAGUACAGAGAGCUUGCUCUCGGGUGACGAGCGGCGGACGGGUGAGUAAUGUCUGGGAAACUGCCUGAUGGAGGGGGAUAACUACGGGAAACGGUAGCUACUACAGCAUAACGUCGCAAGACCAAAGAGGGGGACCUUCGGGCCUCUUGCCAUCAGAGGUGCCCAGAUGGCGCUAGCGAGUAGGUGGGGUAACGGCUCACCUAUGCGACGUUCCCUAGCUGGGCUGAGAGGAUGACCAGCCACACUGGAACGGAGACACGGUCCAGCCUCCUACGGGAGGCAGCAGUCGGGAAUAUUGCACAAUGGGCGCAAGCCUGAUGCAGCCAUGCCGCGUGUAUGAAGAAGGCCUUCGGGUUGUAAAGUACUUUCAGCGGGGAGGAAGGCGGUGAGGUUAAUAACCUCAUCGAUUGACGUUACCCGCAGAGGAAGCACCGGCUAACUCCGUGCCAGCAGCCGCGGUAA
rnacentral:rRNA from 1 species